CCCUUAGAUGUUCUGGGCCGCACGCGCGCUACACUGACGAAGUCAGCGAGCAUGUCCUACGCCGACAGGUGCGGGGAAUCUUGUCAAACUUCGUCGUGAUGGGGAUUGAUUAUUGAAAUUCUUGAUCAUCAACGAGGAAUUCCUAGUAAGCGCAAGUCAUCAGCUUGCGUUGAUUACGUCCCUGCCCUUUGUACACACCGCCCGUCGCUAGUACCGAUUGAAUGGCUUAGUGAGGCUUCAGGAUUUGCUUAGAUCGAGGGGCAACUCUCUUUCAGAGCGGAGAAUCUAGUCAAACUUGGUCAUUUAGAGGAACUAAAAGUCGUAACA
rnacentral:rRNA from 1 species